AUGUCACUUUCUAACUCUCUGAGACCCAAUGAGGCUUUCAUUUGGGGUCGAGGUCUUGUUUAUAUGUUCACAGAUAAUAAAAACAUCUGGUCACCCACGUCAUGCUUCAUGCCAGCUGAUACAGACCAGGAAGAGAAGCAGACGGAAGGUGAUGGCAUCAGCUAUCUACAUGCCAGCCACAAUCCAGACUCGCUGGAAGGACACUUCUUUGGUGACUAAUAUCACUCUAGAACAAUGACAUUACACUAUUAGAGACAUUGGCUAUUAGACCACUGAUGGACACUUGUCAUGCUGACAUCCAUUGAGAUGGGGUACCCAGAGCAACAUCAAGUAUGCUAAUUCAGAAGGACUAAAUCACACUUGUGUCUGUACAAGACACCAAAUAUGUCCCACACUCCAAAGACUUUGCUAUGGGAUUGAGAUGAACUAGCUACAAAUUGUCUAGCUACUAAUGUAUACCCUGUAUUUUGUAUAUGAUACUGUCAAAAGAAAUGUAUAUUGUAUGCAUUGUAAAGCUACCACUUGUAUUGUAAGAAAUGCUGUUACCCACAAGGGUAUAGACCUUGGUAUGACUCUCCAAAGAGUAGGAGAUAGAAAACUUUCAUUCAUAGCAUAGAUCUGAUACCUCUGACAACAAAAAUGAGGUGCUAAGCAGAAAAUGAUGCACAGACAGUUUAAUGGACAGAUGACACUGAUGUUACUCUCAAGAAAGGAUGAGAGAUCAGGGAAAAGACACUAGGAAAUCUUUAAUCAGGAACCUGAGUUAUUGUAAGAAAUCAUUGACAUCAGGCAAAGAUUAUGUUCCUGACAAUACAUUAAGGGCUGACUACCAGAGAUGUAGUUAAGUGUUAAUACCAUCGUUAACCAUUACUCCUGAUACCCUGUCUUUGUGGGUGAUAUCUUGAUAGGACAAAUGUCUUGCUCUCCUCCAACAAUCCCAGAAUUCAGACGGCCGCUGGACUCGGGAUCUAUUGGCUUCCCUUUCAUAUACUGGAAGACGUUCUGGUAUAUGGAAGUAAGACCUCAAGAAACACUGAGGACUCUAGGUUUGACAAUUUCUGUGGAUGCGCAGUCAUUGUCUCUCCUAGGUGGAAAAAAAUUAUUAUUGCACAAAAACAUGGAGCAAGGGCAAAGUAUAAUCUAAGUUUUACUGUUUUGGAGUAUGGAUUGAAAACAUGACACAAUAGGCACAGAUACGCUUGUAGAAAAAGCACAUUGAAUAUUAUUCACUGACAACUAGGAAUGAAAAAGCUAUGUCAAAUUCUAUAGGUACAAGAAACUGUAGAAAUUGUUUCUACAUGGAAAACAACUUAAGCUUCUAUUUACCCAAACAUUGGUUUGGUGGAAGAAAUGUUGCAAAUAUUGGUAAUGGUAUAGGCUUGGUUAUCAUAUUGAUGGGUUUAUUUAUACAAGCAGAGAUUUAAAUAAGGAUGACAUAAGGAAUAUGAACUCAAAACUUGAAAUGUCACUUCAUUAUCACCAUCAUGUUUUUUUAAGCUACAAAUCAGAAUGUAAAGUAUAUGGGAAUAUUGGUAUUUGUUAAAAAUUGCACUGCAAUUGAUGUAUUAAUGUUUUUGCAAAGCCUGUAAUGGUGCAAAAUUAUGUUCAUAUACAAGGCGAAUUUAGAUCAGGAAUUAGGAAUCAUUGGGAAUAUAAGUUCUGAUAUUUUACAUUGGCUCAGUUUCAAAGAUACCACAUAGACAGUGAGCCAAAAGUCUAGAAUCUUGUAUUAAUUUUGGGAUCAGGUUCCCAGGAUCAAUUUUCUGAGAUCAUUUGACAUGUGAUAACAUGAUCCUCCAGAAUUGUUCAGAGAGGAUGUUUUUCUUUGAAAGGAUCUCUCCCUACCCACAAACAAAAAGAAAAGGGAGAGGAAUCUCAUAGAGAUCAGUAUGUUCAUUUUAGAGAACACUUUUGAUUCAUUUUCAAGUAUUCAACUUUGAUUUUUCUGUUGCACAAUUAUUGCCAGAAUUUUUAAGUACAAGGAAAGUACUGUUAAUGCUCUGAUCCAGAAUUAUGAAGGUGCAAAGAUUUCUAUAAUUGCAGUCACCCAACAGUCGGUGAACAUGAGAACAUGACAGCAAUUGUUAAUUUUCAGAUGACCAUUCUGGAGAGUGAUGUCUGAUUGCAUGUAAGGGGAAUCAUAAUGAAUCUUUCAUUAUGGACCAGACAGCCUCAGCCACGAUUAUACACUUUCCAUAUGAAAUGGAUGUUUGAGGUUGGAAAAUGCAGAGACAUGGCGUACUGACACCCUCAGUCGCUGAAUGUCCUGGCAUCGAGCUACCAACCAGUUUCCUAUGUGGCAGGCAUCUGGCAGUGAGCACGGAAAGAUCCCCAAGAUGCAGUAUCAGUACGAGAGAAAGGAAGGACUUAUCCUUCAUCUCCAGAGAUAGUAUUUUGCUAACUGUUGAAAAGACGGACAACUUCUGCAUAGAGUGUCCAUCUCUUCUUUUGUUACUCUUCAUUUUUCGUUACCCCAAACAGGAUGUCACAGGACUGGCCGACCCUGUGAUUGAGUCUUGUACUGCCCGGACAGGGACUUUCAUUCGUAACCCUGAUUCCUUUGCUGGUCUUAGGAUGACGAAGAGUUAACAGCUUUUGCCCCAAGACUGCAGCUCGGAUGGGCAGAAGAAUCGAACAGAGAGAGUGCAGUAUUUGUGGGCCUCCUCUGUUCCCCAACUUUAUUAUUGCACCUGUCAUGUGAACCAUAGAAUUCUACCUCAUUAGACCAGGAUCAGUAGCGUGGAAAUUAUUUUCUUAACAUUUUUAUAUCUACUAAGACUGUUGCAUAGAUCCUGAAAUGCAGACAGAUAGAAAGAUCAGUUUGGGAUUUUUAAGAUUGAUCACUGAAUCAGUUUAUGCUGAUGUUCACUCUUGAUUGGUAUAUCUAAGUUAUACAAUCAGGGUGGGUUUUUCAUCUCUGUAUCAGAAUAUGAUUAUGCACCAGAGUGUUUGUAUUUGUUAAUGCUGUAAUGUUGUUACAUUUUGAUAUUACACUAUUCAUUUGUGUGUAAAACAAAAAGGGGGAAUUGUAGCAGUCAGAUUGCCUUAAAAGAGAACAUGCUCAGUCUUGAGCAUGCGCAGUAUUGCUCAUGGCUGGGAAGGCCUCUGACCCUUGACCCCAGCUUCUCCCAGGUUAGGCGGGAAAACAAGUUUCUUUGUUCUCGCCUGGUUAAGAGAAACCACACCUAUGCCUUGUCAUUGACCAAUGAGGGUCAUCCCUAUGUACUACGUAGCAAAUGGUAUUUAUGGCCCAGCAAGCUCCACCUCGCGCUCUCUCUCCUCUCUCUCCUUUUCAGGCUAGCUGAUGGCUGUCCUUGCAGGAGCUUGGCCUCUGGCCAAGCUCCAUCUUUAAUCUUUCUCUAUUCAUCUCUCUGACCUGUGUGGUAUUAAUAAAGACUCAUUCUGACCACCUCA